rnacentral:rRNA from 1 species
GUGGGGAAUAUUGGGCAAUGGGGGAAACCCUGACCCAGCAACGCCGCGUGAAGGAAGAAGGCUUUCGGGUUGUAAACUUCUUUUAUGAGGGACGAAGAAGUGACGGUACCUCAUGAAUAAGCCACGGCUAACUACGUGCCAGCAGCCGCGGUAAUACGUAGGUGGCAAGCGUUGUCCGGAUUUACUGGGUGUAAAGGGCGCGUAGGCGGGAUAGCAAGUCAGGUGUGAAAUCCGGGGGCUUAACCCUCGAACUGCACUUGAAACUGUUAUUCUUGAGUGAUGGAGAGGCAAGCGGAAUUCCUAGUGUAGCGGUGAAAUGCGUAGAUAUUAGGAGGAACACCAGUGGCGAAGGCGGCUUGCUGGACAUUAACUGACGCUGAGGCGCGAAAGCGUGGGGAGCAAACAGGAUUAGAUACCCCAGUAGUCC